UACAUGGGGUGCAAACGUUGCUCGGAAUUAUUGGGCGUAAAGAGCGCGCAGGCGGUCGUUCAAGUCGCGUGGGAAAGCCCCCGGCUCAACUGGGGAGGGUCACGCGAUACUGAUCGACUCGAAGGCAGGAGAGGGUAGUGGAAUUCCCGGUGUAGUGGUGAAAUGCGUAGAUAUCGGGAGGAACACCAGUGGCGAAGGCGACUACCUGGCCUGUUCUUGACGCUGAGGCGCGAAAGCUAGGGGAGCAAACGGG
rnacentral:rRNA from 1 species